rnacentral:rRNA from 1 species
CCUACGGGUGGCAGCAGUGGGGAAUAUUGCACAAUGGGGGAAACCCUGAUGCAGCAACGCCGCGUGAGUGAAGAAGUAUUUCGGUAUGUAAAGCGCUAUCAGCAGGGAAGAAGAAAGACGGUACCUGAUGAUGAAGCCCCGGCUAACUACGUGCCAGCAGCCGCGGUAAUCCGCAGGGGGCCAGCGUUAGUCGGAUAUAGUUGGUGUAAAUGGUGCGGAGAUGGUUGGGCUAGUCUUAAGUGAAAGUCCGUGGCUCAACCGCGGAACUGCUUUGGAAACUGUAUAGCUUGAGUACUGGGGAGGCAGGCGGAAUUCCUAGUGAAGCGGUGAAAUGCGUAGAUAUUAGGAGGAACACCAGUGGCGAAGGCGGCCUACUGGACAUAAACUGACGUUGAGGCUCGAAAGCGUGGGGAGCAAACAGGAUUAGAUACCCCUGUAGUC